AUUGCCUAAGAAUCUUGUUAAAAUGCAGAUUCUGAUUUAGCAGGGCUGGGGUAGGGCCUGAGACUCUGUAUUUCUAACAGGCUUGCAGGCAAUGCUAA
rnacentral:pre_miRNA from 1 species